rnacentral:lncRNA from 1 species
GGGCCGGUAAGCUGCUGGGGUUCAUUGUAAAAGAGGAAUCAAGAUUGAUCCUGCUUAAAAAAAAAAGAGAAAAAAAAAGAAGGAAAAAACAGAGAAAAAAAAACGCCUGAACCGAAAACAGGAAGAGGUUCGUGGUAUAUUAGGUAGAUUGAACUACAUGUCAUGGUUCAUAUCUCACCUAACAGCCAUGUGGGAACCCAUUCAA